UAUAUAUAUAUAUAUGGGCAGGUGUAUGUGCAUAUGCAUGUACGUAAGUGUACAUGAUAUGAAGUAGGUAUAAUACAAUGUACUAGGUACUAUUGUAGUUAGCGUGUAAUGACAUGCAUUAGCCAUGUGUGGUGUGUAUUGACUUGUAUGUAGAUAAUAUUGUGGUACUAUGUAUGUUUAUUUACUACAGAUCCUUACAGGACUGUAUGGUAUGAGGGACUGCUGGAUCUGGCAAACCUAGGUCCACACACCUGAGUUUAUGUAUAAGGAGGAUAUGGUGGAUUCGUCCCAGUGUAAUAAAGAUGCCGUCAACUCACA